rnacentral:misc_RNA from 1 species
AGCAGCCGCGGUAAUUCCAGCUCCAAUAGCGUAUAUUAAAGUUGUUGCAGUUAAAAGCUCGUAGUUGAAUUUCGGGAUUGGCGCAUCGGUCGUGCCUCACGGGGUAUGAACUGGUGCAGUCAAUUUCUCACCUUCUGGAGAACCGCGAUGUCCUUAAUUGGAUGCCGCGGGGAACCAGGACCUUUACUUUGAAAAAAUUGAGUGUUUAAAGCAGGCAUUUUUGCUUGAAUACAUUAGCAUGGAAUAAUAAAAUAGGACGGCAUGGUUCUAUUUUGUUGGUUUCUAGGACCACCGUAAUGAUUAAUAGGGAUAGUUGGGGGCAUUAGUAUUCAAUUGUCAGAGGUGAAAUUCUUGGAUUUAUUGAAGACUAACUACUGCGAAAGCAUUUGCCAAGGCUGUUUUCAUUAAUCAAGAACGAAAGUUAGGGGAUCGAAGACGAUCAGAUACCGUCGUAGUCUUAACCAUAAACUAUGCCGACUAGGAAUCAGACGAUGUUAAUUUUUAAUGUACUUCGUUUGGC